rnacentral:rRNA from 1 species
UCUGGUUGAUCCUACCAGUAAGUCAUAUGCUUGUUCUCAAAGAUUAAGCCAUUGCCUCGUACGGUGAAACCGCGAAUGGCUCAUGAAAUCAGUCGAGGUUCCUUAGAUGAUCCAUUUCUACUUGGAUAACUGUGGCAAUUCUAGAGCUAAUACAUGCAAACCAACUCCAAGCCGGGAAAGAGCGUUUUUAUUAGUUCAAAAUCAGUCGGGGUCUCGGCCCCGUCCCUUUUAAUGACUCUGGAUAACUUUGUGCCGAUCGCAUGGCCUCGAGCCGGCGAGGCAUCUUUCAAAUGUCUGCCUUAUCAACUGUCGAUGGUACGUGAUAGACCUACCAUGUUGACUACGGGGAAUCAGGGUGUGAUUCCGGAGAGUGAGCAUGAGAAACGGCUACCACAUCCAAGGAAGGCACCAGGCGCGCAACUUACCCACUCCGGCUAGGGAGGUAGUGACGAAAAAUAGCAAUACGGAACUCUUUUGAGGCUCCGCAAUUGCAAUGAGUACACUUUAAACCCUUUAACGAGGAUCUAUUGGAGGGCAAGUCUGGUGCCAGCAGCCGUGGUAAUUUCAGCUCCAAUAGCGUAUAUUAAAGUCGUUGCGCUUAAAAAGCUCGUAGUUGCAUCUGAGGCAAGGUCGUGCGGUUCGUCUCGCGACGGUCACUGCGCGAAGCCUGAGCGUGCGCGGCUCUUCGCAGGGUCGUCUUCGCAAGACGAACAACUGCGAAAGCAUUUGCCAAGCAUAUUUUCAUUAGUCAAGAACUAGUCAGAGGUUCGAAGACGAUUAAAAUACUGUCAUUGUUCUGACCAUAAACGAUGCCAACUAGCGUUGUGCUUCAUCGACUCUGAAACCAAACUUUUCGGGUUCCAGGGGAAGUAUGGUUGCAAAGCUGAAACUUAAAGGAAUUGACGGAAGGUCACCAACAGGAGUGGAGCCUGCGGCUUAAUUUGAUUCAACACGGUAAAACACACCCAGUCCGAACACUGUAAGCAUUGACAGAUUGAUAUCUUUUUCUUGAUUCGGUGGGUGGUGGCGCAUGGCCGUUCUUAGGUGGUGGAGCGAUUUGUCUGAUUAAUUCCGGUAACGGGCGAGUCUCUAGCCUGUUAAAUAGUUCACCGAUUCUUCACGCAUCGGUGCUAACUUCUUAGAGGGAGAAGUGGCGUUUAGCCACAAGAGAUUGAGCAACAACAGGUGUGGCUGCCUUGAACGUCCUUCGUGAUAGGGAUUGGGGGCUUGAAAUUCUUCUUAUCAACGAGGAAUUCCCAGUAAUUACGUCGAUGCCCUUUCUACACACCGCCUGUCACUACUACCGAGUGAACGGUUUAGUGAGGGGGAUAUGGCCUCCGCGUCGAGAGUCUGAAAAAGUCUAUCAAACCGGAGGGAAAGCUUUUGCCGAGUCAGGCUCUCAGUGACGCCCCGGACUCUCGCCUC